UACGGAGGGUGCGAGCGUUGUCCGGAAUCAUUGGGCGUAAAGAGCGUGUAGGCGGCCACUUAAGUCCUGCGUGAAAUCUUGCGGCUCAACCGCAGCGGUCGUGGGAAACUGGGUGGCUAGAGUGCGGGAGAGGUGAGUGGAAUUCCCGGUGUAGCGGUGAAAUGCGUAGAUAUCGGAGGAGACCUGCGGCGGAAGCGAGCUCG
rnacentral:rRNA from 1 species